AGAAAGCGGGACCCUUUUGUUCGCUUUGUACACUUCUUGUGAGGAGAUUUCAGAAAAUGUGUAACUUUAGCAAGGAACAAGUUGCAGAAAAGCUGGAAGAGAUUUGUAGCAAAUUGUAUCUUGGCAAAGAAAGGUGCAGGAAGUUUGUUGGAGAAAACAAAGACAAAUUGUCGGAUGGUUUUACCAAUCCCAAAUCACCCUGCACUUUCCUGAAGUUUUGCUAAACGCAACAGCCCCUAUGAGGACCUCUGGCCCGGAAGUGAGCCGUUGGUGAUGAGACUGCUGU